GAAAAUGAACAUAACAGUUUGAACGUACUUUUAAAAAUGUUAAAUGUACAUUUUUUUUGCCCACGGGAACAGAAAAGGUUCCUGUCAAAAGUUGUAUGAGCACCUGCUUUCUCACAGUUUCCUGGUGAAGUGAAGAGAAUAGUGAGAAAGUG